UACAGAGGGGGCAAGCGUUGUUCGGAAUUACUGGGCGUAAAGGGCGCGUAGGCGGCCUUCUAAGUCGAACGUGAAAUCCCCGGGCUCAACCCGGGAACUGCGUCCGAUACUGGAAGGCUUGAAUCCGGGAGAGGGAUGCGGAAUUCCAGGUGUAGCAGUGAAAUGCGUAGAUAUCGGGAGGAACACCAGUGGCGAAGGCGAGUCUCUGGGAUGAUGCUGACGCUGAGGCGCGAAAGCCAGGGGAGCAAACGGG
rnacentral:rRNA from 1 species